UAUUCUCAACCCCACCAGCUUUUGUGGCUGGCCCUUGGGGCUUGGAUGUGGAGGUUUUUGCUGGCCCUCUGGGUCAGCUCCUCUGAAAUGCAUUAGCGGAACCGUUUGCGAUCCGUCACAGGUGUGAUAAUUAUCUACGCCAGUGGGUUGCUUUCUGUCUGUUCAGCUCAUAAUUGUCCUGUUACUGGACAACUUAUUGAAC
rnacentral:misc_RNA from 1 species